rnacentral:rRNA from 1 species
CGUAGAGAGUUUGUAGUCCUGGCGUCAGGAUGAACGCUGCGGCGUGCCUAACACAUGCAAGUCGAACGGAUCUGUAUUGAAACCUAGUGAUAUACAGGUUAGUGGCGGACGGGUGAGUAACGCGUGGAUAACCUGCCGUAUACCGGGGGAUAACACUUAGAAUAGGUGCUAAUACCGCAUGAGCGCACAGCUCCGCAUGGAGCGGUGUGAAAAACUCCGGUGGUAUACGAUGGAUCCGCGUCUGAUUAGCCAGUUGGCGGGGUAACGGCCCACCAAAGCGACGAUCAGUAGCCGGCCUGAGAGAGUGAACGGCCACAUUGGGACUGAGACACGGCCCAGACUCCUACGGGAGGCAGCAGUGGGGAAUAUUGCACAAUGGGGGAAACCCUGAUGCAGCGACGCCGCGUGAGUGAAGAAGUAUCUCGGUAUGUAAAGCUCUAUCAGCAGGAAAGAUAAUGACGGUACCUGACUAAGAAGCCCCGGCUAACUACGUG